rnacentral:rRNA from 1 species
GGGGGCUAUACUGCAAGUCGAGCGCAGCAAUUUUAACCCGAAGGCCUUCGGCGCUGGGAAGCUAAAAGCGCGAGCGGCGGGAUGGGUGAGUAACACGUGGGCAACCUGCCCUUUAGCUUGGGAUACCACUUGCAAAACAGGUGCUAAUACCAAAUAAGAAGCAAGAGCGCAUGCUCAAGCUAUGAAAGGCGGCUUUCGAGCUGUCGCUAAAGGAUGGGCCCGCGGUGCAUUAGCUAGUUGGUAAGGUAACGGCUUACCAAGGCAAUGAUGCAUAGCCGAGUUGAGAGACUGAUCGGCCACAUUGGGACUGAGACACGGCCCAAACUCCUACGGGAGGCAGCAGUAGGGAAUCUUCCACAAUGGACGCAAGUCUGAUGGAGCAACGCCGCGUGAGUGAAGAAGGUUUUCGGAUCGUAAAGCUCUGUUGUUGGUGAAGAAGGAUGUGAAUAGUAACUGAUUCAUAUUUGACGGUAAUCAACCAGAAAGUCACGGCUAACUACGUGCCAGCAGCCGCGGUAAUACGUAGGUGGCAAGCGUUGUCCGGAUUUAUUGGGCGUAAAGCGAACGCAGGCGGGAGAACAAGUCAGCUGUGAAAGCCCUCGGCUUAACCGGGGGAAGUGCACUGAAACUGUUUUUCUUGAGUGCAAAAGGAGAGUGGAACUCCAUGUUAGCGGGGGAAUGCGUAGAUAUAUGGAAGAACACCAGUGGCGAAGGCGGCUCUCUGGUCUGUAACUGACGCUGAGGUUCGAAAGCAUGGGUAGCGAACAGGAUUAGAUACCCUGGUAGUCCAUGCCGUAAACGAUGAGUGCUAAGUGUUGGGGAGGUUUCCGCUCUCAGUGCUGCACGCUAUACGCAUUUACCCACCUCGCGCCCUGGGCGAGUACGACCCGCAAGGGUUAAAACUCAAAGGAAUUGACGGGGGCCCGCACAAGCGGUGGAGCAUUGUGGUUUUAAAUUUCCAGCCAACGACGCAUAACUUUACAGGUCUGACAUCUAUGCCCAGUCCUAGAGAAUAGGACUGUCCUUCGGGACACUAAGACAUGUGCAUGUCCUCAGCUCGGAGAUUGGGUAGUCCCACCCC